GGCCUCCUGGUGCUUACCGCAGGCUGUGUUGUUACACUGGCUGUAUAGGAAGAAGACGCAGAGCAAAUCUUCCUCAUAUACACCCCAGCCUAAGCCCUGUGCCCUGGGUUUGGUCUGUAUUGUGAGUGGGGGGACAUGG